AGCGGAGCGUGUGGUUUAAUUCGUUGCUACACGAAGAACUUACCUGGGUUUGACAUAUAGGUUGUAGGGAACUGAAAAGGACCGACCCUUCGGGGAGCCUAUACAGGUGUUGCAUGGCUGUCGUCAGCUCGUGUCGUGAGAUGUUCGGUUAAGUCCGCUAACGAGCGCAACCCUCGUCGUAUGUUAUAUGUGUCAUACGAGACUGCCGGUAAAAAGCCGGAGGAAGGUGAGGAUGAUGUCAAGUCAGCAUGACCUUUAUAUCCAGGGCUACACACACGCUACAAUGGUCUGUACAAUGGGUAGCCAAGCCGCGAGGCGGAGCCAAUCCUGAAAGCAGGCCUCAGUUCAGAUUGCAGUCUGCAACUCGACUGCAUGAAGCCGGAGUUGCUAGUAACCGCAGGUCAGCAAUACUGCGUUGAAUACGUUCCCGGGGCUU
rnacentral:rRNA from 1 species